rnacentral:piRNA from 1 species
UAGUUAGGUGGGAUAUAAAGUGUGUGACA